UACGGAGGAUGCGAGCGUUAUCCGGAUUUAUUGGGUUUAAAGGGUGCGUAGGCGGAACAUUAAGUCAGCGGUAAAAUCGAGGGGCUCAACCCCUUUAAGCCGUUGAAACUGGUGAUCUUGAGUGGGCGAGAAGUAUGCGGAAUGCGUGGUGUAGCGGUGAAAUGCAUAGAUAUCACGAAGAACUCCGAUUGCGAAGGCAGCUUACCAGUCUGCGACUGACGCUCAGGCACGAAAGUGUGGGUAUCGAACAGG
rnacentral:rRNA from 1 species